UACAGAGGGGGCAAGCGUUAUUCGGAAUUAUUGGGCGUAAAGGGCGCGUAGGCGGCCUUCUAAGUCGGACGUGAAAUCCCCGGGCUUAACCUGGGAACUGCGCUUGUAACUGAUAGGCUUGAGUGUGGCAGAGGGGGGUGGAAUUCCACGUGUAGCGGUGAAAUGCGUAGAUAUGUGGAGGAAUACCGAUGGCGAAGGCAGCCUCCUGGGCCAACACUGACGCUCAUGCACGAAAGCGUGGGGAGCAAACAGG
rnacentral:rRNA from 1 species